rnacentral:rRNA from 1 species
ACAUACCUACGGGGGGCAGCAGUGAGGGAUAUUGGUCAAUGGGGGAAACCCUGAACCAGCAACGCCGCGUGAGGGAAGACGGUUUUCGGAUUGUAAACCUCUGUCCUCUGUGAAGAUAAUGACGGUAGCAGAGGAGGAAGCUCCGGCUAACUACGUGCCAGCAGCCGCGGUAAUACGUAGGGAGCGAGCGUUGUCCGGAUUUACUGGGUGUAAAGGGCGUGUAGGCGGGAGAGCAAGUCAGACGUGAAAUUCCAGGGCUCAACCCUGGAACUGCGUUUGAAACUGUUCUUCUUGAGUGAUGGAGG